rnacentral:rRNA from 1 species
UGGGGAAUAUUGGUCAAUGGACGCAAGUCUGAACCAGCCAUGCCGCGUGAAGGAUGAAGGUCCUCUGGAUUGUAAACUUCUUUUAUAUGGGAAGAAAUCCAUCUUUUCUUGGGUGGUUGACGGUACCAUAGGAAUAAGCACCGGCUAACUCCGUGCCAGCAGCCGCGGUAAUACGGAGGGUGCAAGCGUUAUCCGGAUUCACUGGGUUUAAAGGGUGCGUAGGAGGGCAGGUAAGUCAGUGGUGAAAUCUCCAAGCUUAACUUGGAAACUGCCGUUGAUACUAUCUGUCUUGAAUACCGUGGAGAUGAGCGGAAUAUGUCAUGUAGCGGUGAAAUGCUUAGAUAUGACAUAGAACACCAAUUGCGAAGGCAGCUCGUUACACGAAUAUUGACUCUGAGGCACGAAAGCGUGGGGAUCAAACA